AAAUGGCCAUGGAUACUGGGUUUCUUGAGUACAGAAGAGGUCGGUGGAAUUCGUAGUGUAGCGGUGAAAUGCAUAGAUAUUACGAAGAACACCAGUGGCGAAGGCGGCCGGCUGGACUGUAACUGACGCUGAGGCACGAAAGCGUGGGGAGCGAACAGGAUUAGAUACCCUGGUAGUCCACGCUGUAAACGAUGUAUGCUAGUUGUUGGCGCUUUGGCGCCAGUGACGCAGUUAACGCAGUAAGCAUACCACCUGGGGAGUACGUCGGCAACGAUGAAACUCAAAGGAAUUGACGGGGGCCCGCACAAGCGGUGGAGCAUGUGGCUUAAUUCGAUGCAACGCGAGGAACCUUACCUGGGCUAAAUUCACAGUGUUACCUCCCGAAAAGG
rnacentral:rRNA from 1 species